rnacentral:rRNA from 1 species
AGUGAACGCUGGCGGCGUGCCUAAUACAUGCAAGUCGAACGGAGUGGCGCCCGGGUGAGUAAUGUAUAGCUAAUCUGCCCUACACUAGAGGACAACAGUUGGAAACGGCUGCUAAUACUCUAUAGUGUAGGAUGAGGCUAUAUUGUAUCAGCUAGUUGGUGAGGUAAUGGCUCACCAAGGCUAUGACGCAUAACUGGUCUGAGAGGAUGAUCAGGCACACUGGAACGGAGACACGGUCCAGAAUCCUACGGGAGGGAGCAGUAGGGAAUAGUGCUCAAGGGGGGAAACCCUGAAGCAGCAACGGGGGGUGGAGGAUGACACUUUUCGGAGCGUAAACUCCUUUUGUUAGGGAAGCGGUACGAAAAGAAUAAGCACCGGCUAACUCCGUGCCAGCAGCCGCGGUAAUUG